rnacentral:rRNA from 1 species
UACGUAGGGGGCUAGCGUUGUCCGGAAUCAUUGGGCGUAAAGAGCGUGUAGGCGGCCGGGUAAGUCCGGUGUGAAAACUCGAGGCUUAACCUCGAGAUGUCAUCGGAAACUAUUCGGCUAGAGUCCGGAAGAGGAGAGUGGAAUUCCUGGUGUAGCGGUGAAAUGCGCAGAUAUCAGGAAGAACACCCAUGGCGAAAGCAGCUCUCUGGGACGGUACUGACGCUGAGACGCGAAGCGUGGGGAGCGAACAGG